GUAAAUCAUGUUGAGCCGGUUUACUUUUGUAGCAGAUGGGAUGUUUCAUUAGCAGCUCCACUUUGACGCAAAAUAUCCAGUGGCUCAACUAUGAUUAUUG